rnacentral:miRNA from 1 species
GUAGAUGUCAUGUCAUGACUGGC